GUGAAUCAUCAAAUUUUUGAACGCAAAUUGCACUCCCUGGUAUUCCGGGGAGUAUGCGCGUUUGAGGCUCUUUAGAACAACAAUCGAAGCGUCGCUCUUUUUUUUAAGGGUGAUCGCGUCGGAAUUGAGACGUCUUUCAAAUGAUAAUUCAAGUCAAAUUUGCUUAAAAUUUAUACAUCCG
rnacentral:misc_RNA from 1 species